rnacentral:rRNA from 1 species
AUUGAACGCUGGCGGCAGGCCUAACACAUGCAAGUCGAGCGGAGCGGCGGACGGGUGCGUAAUGCCUAGGCAUCUGCCUGGUAGUGGGGGAUAACGUCCGGCAACGGGCGCUAAUACCGCAUACUAUCAGAUUAGCCUAGGUCGGAUUAGCUAGUUGGUGGGGUAAAGGCCUACCAAGGCGAAGAUCCGUAACUGGUCUGCGAGGAUGAUCAGUCACACUGGAAGUGAGACACGGGCCAGACUCUGCCGGGAGGCAGCAGUGGGGAAUAUUGGACAAUGGGCGAAAGCCUUAUCCAGCCAGGCCGCGUGUGGGAAGAAGGUCUUCGGAUUGUAAAGUACUUUCAGCGGGGAGGCGUUACCCGCAGAAGAAGCACCGGCUAACUCCGUGCCAGCAGCCGCGGUAAUAC